GCUGAUGAAAUGCGAUGGUCCUUUAUCCCAGAAAAAUUGUCAAAUGCACAUGCGUACAAAGAUAUUUGCUCUCAGUUUCAGAGGGUCCCUAAAGGCCUAAAGUGCACUGUGAGCUGCCUGGGGACGGCUCCAUGGCCCUGGGAUGAAGCCCCACGAUUGCCAGUCCACAGAUGGCAUGAGUGAAUGGUACACCUGCUAAAUGAACCGGAAACACCAAGGCCAGUCUAAACAGACUGGUAGAACUCACUUGGACCACAAUCUGGGAAAGAAGCACCAGGAGAGGCAUCUACAUAACAUCAGUGCAAGUUUUAUUUGUAAGAAUUAAAAGAUAUGUAUUUGGUUGAGGAUCACUUCACAUAACUUACUCAUCACUCUCUUUGGAUUUAAAGAAUGUUCAAUUCUAACUAAAUUUGGUAUCUAAAUUUGGGCACGGGCUGGAUAGAAAGUCUGAGGCUGGAUCUGCACUUAAUCAGCGAAACACGGUACCCAUCCUCAAAGCCUGCACUCCUGCUGCCCCCGCCUAGCUGAAGCCCUGCGAGAGAAGCAUGAUUUGGGGAGGAUUGUUUGAAGGACGUGUUGCUCUGUCUAUUCCUCCGUAAAAUGCAUCUUUAAUUUCUGCAUCCAAGGACCCUCAGAACCGUACCUUCACGGCCCUUCAAAGCACUGUUUUCAGCAAGGUGCAACUUUGUGUGUUAAGUUAACAGCUCAUCUUGUGAAAUGAAAAUUACAUUGAAUUUACUGUAGAAUUUUUGUAGAGGACAUUACAAUCUUCAUUUCUUAGUGGAUGUGUAACAAGCAAACAGCCGCUGAUGAUUAAGUAGCUAGGAACUAAAGCUUUUUUUCCUUUUUGCAAUUACUGCUUGUAGCUUUUGGCUGUUUAACCCACCUGUCGAUAACUGUGCUGCUUAGGCAAUAUGCUAUCUGACUCCCACUACGCUCCUGUAGAUAACGUCUCCCUGGAGCCUGGGUCACCAUGAUAAUGGGCGUGUGAGCUGUUUUUCAGGAAUUAGAACUCCUUGUCCACUUCAGGUCGGUUGAGACCAC
rnacentral:lncRNA from 1 species